rnacentral:rRNA from 1 species
CAGCCGCCGCGGUAAUACGAAGGGGGCUAGCGUUGCUCGGAAUUACUGGGCGUAAAGGGAGCGUAGGCGGACAUUUAAGUCAGGGGUGAAAUCCCAGAGCUCAACUCUGGAACUGCCUUUGAUACUGGGUGUCUUGAGUGUGAUAGAGGUAUGUGGAACUCCGAGUGUAGAGGUGAAAUUCGUAGAUAUUCGGAAGAACACCAGUGGCGAAGGCGACAUACUGGAUCAUUACUGACGCUGAGGCUCGAAAGCGUGGGGAGCAAACAGGAUUAGAUACCCCAGUAGUCCCUGUCUCUUAUAU